GAAGAGAAGAUGUUCGGGCAGCCGCCACAGAUGCAGCGUAAGCCUGGUGGGCGCUGGCAUGGUUGGGGCCUUCUGGUCUCUUCCACGGAGUUGGAGCCACAGGUGACAAUGAGAUUUCCAGAAACCGGAACAGAGGGGACAACUUGGUGUAGCAUAUUCGUAAUCCAGAGGAUGCAUCUUUGGAGCAAAGAGGAAAGGUCCUUCCUCUUGGAUUCCACAGUGUGCUUAGUUAUCUUAUCUUCUUCAUCUGCUUCACUCUGUGGCAGCUCCACCAUCUUUCCUUGUCUUUCAUGACACUUUCAAGGGUCCUAGUCAGUUGUUUCAUAGAAUGUCCUCCACUGGGGUCUGUCUGACGUUUUCUUGUGGCGAUAUUGAGGAGCUGCAUUAUUGAGAAGAAUGCCCAGACGUACAUGACGUAUUUCACUGUCGUUAAACAAGAUAACAAGGUUAAGAUCGUUUCUCCAGGAUUGUCUAUUAUCAAGUUACGCCUUUUUGUAUUUCUUAAAAGCUUUUUUGGGGUGUGUGUGUAAUAUUUCAAAGCAAUGCAAAUAUGCUAUUACACUUACACUUCUGCCUACUAAAUCUAUCAAAGGAUCUCACCUGUGGCAAUGAAUAUUGUGGCAAUCUAAAAGUCAUGUUAUUUCCCUUAUUCCUUCUACAUUUAUAAAUUGCAACUCUUCGUAAGGAGGAGUUGCAUGAUGUUACAUUGUGAU